ACUCCUACGGGAGGCAGCAGUGGGAAGUAUUGCAUCAAUGGCAGGCAGCAUGCAUGCAGCCAUGCCGCGUGUGUGAAGAAGGCCUUCGGGUUGUAAAAGCACUUUCAGUCGUGAGGAAGGUAGUGUAGUUAAUAGCUGCAUUAUUUGACGUUAGCGACAGAAGAAGCACCGGCUAACUCCGUGCCAGCAGCCGCGGUAAUACGGAGGGUGCGAGCGUUAAUCGGAAUUACUGGGCGUAAAGCGCAUGCAGGUGGUUUGUUAAGUCAGAUGUGAAAGCCGG
rnacentral:rRNA from 1 species